rnacentral:tRNA from 1 species
UAGCUCAGUUAGUAAAGAAUCUGCCUGUAAUGCAGGAGACCCAGGUUCCAUUCCUGG